rnacentral:rRNA from 1 species
GGGAACUAGGAGUGGGGAUGCUAUCCUGUGUUUCUGCGCCGUAGCUAACGCAUUAAGUUACCCGCCUGGGGAGUACGGUCGCAAGGCUAAAACUCAAAGGAAUUGACGGGGGCCCGCACAAGCGGCGGAGCAUGCGGAUUAAUUCGAUGCAACGCGAAGAACCUUACCAAGGCUUGACAUACACUGCGAUGGUUCCAGAGAUGGGCCAGCCUUCGGGGUGGUGUACAGGUGGUGCAUGGUUGUCGUCAGCUCGUGUCGUGAGAUGUUGGGUUAAGUCCCGCAACGAGCGCAACCCUUGCCUCAUGUUGCCAGCGGUUCGGCCGGGGACUCGUGAGGGACUGCCGGGGUUAACUCGGAGGAGGGUGGGGAUGACGACAAAUCAUCAUGCCUCUUAUGUCUUGGGCUUCACGCAUGCUACAUUGGCCAGUACAGAGGGUUGCGAUACCGUGAGGUGGGGCUAAUCUCUUAAAGCUGGUCUCGGUUCGGAUUGGGGUCUGC